GACUGGAAUAAGUAUGAUGACAAGCUGAUGAAGGCAGUGGAGAGGAGGGAGGUAGACAAGGUCGCAGCAGUGCUCGGCAAGAAGGGCAUCAUCCCCACCAAACUUGACGUAGAGGGCCGCUCUGCGUUCCAUCUUGCUGCCUCCAGAGGACAUCUCGACUGCCUGAAUCUCAUUCUUAAUCAUGGUGUGGAUAUCACAGCCACGGAUGCCACAGG